CUAUAAUAUUUUUCUUUCGAUCUUUGUAGUUUACGACUGAUUUUUACUUAAUUUAAAAUACCUUAUUUUACUUUUUACAACUUUCCGACUGUCUAGUGUAGAAGUUAAGAUUAUCUAUUGUAGGAGUUAACACUAUGUCAAUUUAGGAGAUUACCUACUUUUUUAAGUGUUUACCAUACCCUAUAUUGUUACUUGUAUUCAAUUUAUAGUAAACACCAUUGUUAGACAAUUGUGUUAAAGCUGGACAGA